rnacentral:tRNA from 1 species
UAAUAUGAAUACAAAUAAUUGUAAUUUAAUUUCGACUUAAAUAAUUGGAUUUAAAUAUAAUCCCAUAUUUU